AGCUUGCUCCCUGAUGUUAGCGGCGGACGGGUGAGUAACACGUGGGUAACCUGCCUGUAAGACUGGGAUAACUCCGGGAAACCGGGGCUAAUACCGGAUGCUUGUUUGAACCGCAUGGUUCAAACAUAAAAGGUGGCUUCGGCUACCACUUACAGAUGGACCCGCGGCGCAUUAGCUAGUUGGUGAGGUAAUGGCUCACCAAGGCAACGAUGCGUAGCCGACCUGAGAGGGUGAUCGGCCACACUGGGACUGAGACACGGCCCAGACUCCUACGGGAGGCAGCAGUAGGGAAUCUUCCGCAAUGGACGAAAGUCUGACGGAGCAACGCCGCGUGAGUGAUGAAGGUUUUCGGAUCGUAAAGCUCUGUUGUUAGGGAAGAACAAGUACCGUUCGAAUAGGGCGGUACCUUGACGGUACCUAACCAGAAAGCCACGGCUAACUACGUGCCAGCAGCCGCGGUAAUACGUAGGUGGCAAGCGUUGUCCGGAAUUAUUGGGCGUAAAGGGCUCGCAGGCGGUUUCUUAAGUCUGAUGUGAAAGCCCCCGGCUCAACCGGGGAGGGUCAUUGGAAACUGGGGAACUUGAGUGCAGAAGAGGAGAGUGGAAUUCCACGUGUAGCGGUGAAAUGCGUAGAGAUGUGGAGGAACACCAGUGGCGAAGGCGACUCUCUGGUCUGUAACUGACGCUGAGGAGCGAAAGCGUGGGGAGCGAACAGGAUUAGAUACCCUGGUAGUCCACGCCGUAAACGAUGAGUGCUAAGUGUUAGGGGGUUUCCGCCCCUUAGUGCUGCAGCUAACGCAUUAAGCACUCCGCCUGGGGAGUACGGUCGCAAGACUGAAACUCAAAGGAAUUGACGGGGGGCCCGCACAAGCGGUGGAGCAUG
rnacentral:rRNA from 2 species